rnacentral:rRNA from 1 species
AUUGAACGCUGGCGGCAUGCCUUACACAUGCAAGUCGAACGGUAACAGGUUAAGCUGACGAGUGGCGAACGGGUGAGUAAUGUAUCGGAACGUGCCCAGUCGUGGGGGAUAACUGCUCGAAAGAGCAGCUAAUACCGCAUACGACCUGAGGGUGAAAGCGGGGGAUCGCAAGACCUCGCGCGAUUGGAGCGGCCGAUAUCAGAUUAGGUAGUUGGUGAGGUAAAGGCUCACCAAGCCGACGAUCUGUAGCUGGUCUGAGAGGACGACCAGCCACGCUGGGACUGAGACACGGCCCAGACUCCUACGGGAGGCAGCAGUGGGGAAUUUUGGACAAUGGGCGCAAGCCUGAUCCAGCCAUGCCGCGUGCGGGAAGAAGGCCUUCGGGUUGUAAACCGCUUUUGUCAGGGAAGAAAAGGUUCUGUCUAAUACCUGGGACUCAUGACGGUACCUGAAGAAUAAGCACCGGCUAACUACGUGCCAGCCGCCGCCGUAAUAC